rnacentral:misc_RNA from 1 species
CCCAAGAAUCGCUUUGAUUGAGUCUUCUCUGAAUGGAACAGCCUCCAGCUCCUCGCAUUGGAUCCAGAUGACCAAACAUAAUAGCAAAGAGUCAAAGUACAAGCCGGUUGCCUGAUUGCUUUUAUUCUGAUUUCUUAAAAAAUAUUUGAAUCGUCCAACUGUGCUUUGGUAUGGCUAACAACACCAAGAGUCGCACCCCACACAUAGAUAGAGCCAUGGCAAAUCAAGAAGAAAAACGAAAGGUUACAGAAGGUCUCAUAGCUCAAGGAGAGGCACAGUCACAGACGGCGAACGCACAAUUUGAGAAAGCAGUUAGGAAAAAACGGCGUCGCAAGUGUUUGAUGUUUUCUUGCUUUCGUAACUAUGACGACGAAACAGAUAAUCGGGAAUAAAAAGCUUCAUACGCACAUAAAUUUUCAACAUAUUCUUCCCGUUAUACACAUCGUUGUUUUUAAGGCUGGCAGUGAUAGCAUGUCUUUUAAUAUUUUGAUGUUAAUUGCCUGUAUUAUAUUUAUAUUCAAUGUAGUAUGUUUGUAAAAAUAUAUCAAUAACCAUCUGUAUAAUUGAGCCGCACCAUGAGAAAACCAACAUAGUGCAUUUGCGACCAGCAUGGAUCCAGACCAGCCUG